CCUACGGGAGGCAGCAGUGAGGAAUAUUGGGCAAUGGAGGCAACUCUGACCCAGCCAUGCCGCGUGCAGGAAGACUGCCCUAUGGGUUGUAAACUGCUUUUAUACAGGAAGAAACGCCGCUACGUGUAGUGGUUUGACGGUACUGUAAGAAUAAGGAUCGGCUAACUCCGUGCCAGCAGCCGCGGUAAUACGGAGGAUCCAAGCGUUAUCCGGAAUCAUUGGGUUUAAAGGGUCCGUAGGUGGAUAAUUAAGUCAGAGGUGAAAUCCUGCAGCUCAACUGUAGAAUUGCCUUUGAUACUGGUUAUCUUGAGUCAUUAUGAAGUGGUUAGAAUGUGUAGUGUAGCGGUGAAAUGCAUAGAUAUUACACAGAAUACCGAUUGCGAAGGCAGAUCACUAAUAAUGUACUGACACUGAUGGACGAAAGCGUGGGGAGCGAACAGGAUUAGAUACCCUGGUAGUCCACGCUGUAAACGAUGGUCACUAGCUGUUUGGACUUCGGUCUGAGUGGCUAAGCGAAAGUGAUAAGUGACCCACCUGGGGAGUACGUUCGCAAGAAUGAAACUCAAAUGAAUUGACGGA
rnacentral:rRNA from 1 species